AGAGCCAUUGAGGAGUUAGACUAGAGUGACUGGACAGGCCAAGCGAUGGACCAUCACUUGAACCACCAUUGGUAAGUCGAUGAUUUUGUCUUCUUUUCAUGUUAAAUUGACCCGACCAAUCAUAACCAAAUGCUGAGAUCGGUUUAAAAUUGGCCCAAAUACUUGAUCCAAACCUUACCUAUUUUCAAUUGAAUUAAUAACCAAAUUCUCCAUUGGCCUUUUUAUUUCGUCUUUUUCAAUGGUUGAAAAACCCAUGUUCACAACUCUUAAUUUACAUUCAUUACCCAUUAACCACUCUCGUCAUCUUCCCUUUCUAUUUAAACUACCCUUUAACACGAUGCCAUCUAUUACUAAGAACAAAUCACCAAAUACCUAACGCAACUCUUGGCAUCUUCAAACUUUAACACUUGUACUUACACAAGUUUCAGUUUUCAUCUACAUCCGGUGAUUGAGGUGUAUUCAACUCUCUAUGAGACUUUAGUGUAGUUUUUUAAAUUUAUUUUUUAAUGUUUUGUUGUUCUUCUCUUUUUCUAGUACUAUGUUAAAAGGUUGUGUGUGGCAUAUUGUUGAGUGGUAAACCUAGCGGUGAAGUCCAAAUAACCCUAAGGCUGGUAAAAAAGUGUUUGAAGAUGAUUAAAAUUUAGAUAAUUCCAUUUUUCAUUAAAAGUAACAAAAGGAUAACCACCGUGUGUAUGAUAAAAUGUCAAGGAUAAGACAAGUCAGUUUAUUGAACAACGAUAGAUUGACUGAUGGGCCGUUAGGAAAAUUAUCGCACAACUUUUCAAAAAUUGCUUAAAGGCUGAUGAUUUAGUUGACUAACCAUAACAUAUGUUACGGCCCAUCACACCAACCUUUGACAAGCUCAUCAAUUAGAGCCUAAUUUAUUUAAUGAAUGAUGGCUGAGCUAAUGAAUCAAUAGUCAGUUAAUGACCCCUCAAGGUAACCGUCGUACUUGAAUUUGACUGCAAUCUGCUUAAGAGCUGAUAGCUGGGUCGAUGAACCAUUGCCCAACUCAUUGCUCCUAAACAAUUACUAAAUGUCAAUAUGAUUCUUAAAUUCUAGUUUUUCUACUGUGGCUAACUAGCUCCACCUCAAGUAUAUUGACUGAAAACCUACCAUCAAGGAGAUAUGGGGGUUGACCAAUGCAACCCUGGCAAAACACUACCUUGACACUUUGAGGUGAUCCAAAAGUUGACAUUGAUAAAGUGGAGGCACCAUCCCAUAACACCAGGCAAAGUGAAAUGAAUUAUCGCCCAUGCUCCCAGUUUGAAGAAAAGGACGAGUCAUCAAGUUUUUAUAUAUGUAUUGAGAGGGAAAGCAACGAUCGUUCCAUCUCUAGCCCAAGUGUGGAGAGUAAAAAGGACACUACUAGUCUGAAAAAUACCAGAACAACAAAAGGGUGAUUUCAUUCAUAGCAAAGAUCCAGAGGUUAGAGAAUCAAUUGGAUGGGUGGUUGAAGGUGCUGAAAAGAAUUAUUUUGAUGGUCUACAACUAACCCAAUCCAAAAACAUGAAGAUACCAAUUGUUGAAGAGUGGAAGAUAGUGACAACUGAUCUGCCAAAAUAUCCUGACAUUGAGAAGUGAUUCAAUGAGUAUGGACUAAGCUAUUUGAGCACACCACCAGGUUCUUACUACCCAAUUUUUGUAAAAGAGUUCUUUUCUAAUUAUUUGGAUGUCCAGGAGAAAGAUUGACCAAAGGGGAAGAAGGCGUCCAACAUGCAGAAUAGAACUAUAAUUCCAGUUAGGGGAGUUUCUAUGGACAUCUCAGACCAAACCAUCAAUCGAAUCCUUUUUGGUCAGUUGUACGCUUCUUCUACUAUCACAUUAUAGCUUGAACAUCAAAUGACUAUUACAUAUACCCAACAGCCAUGGUUGGCUCGAGUGUUGACAAAUAAUGGUGAACCAUCUUAGAUAGAUCAUAAAGAGUGGAUCUUAGUCCUCGUUGAGCUUCAAGGCUAAGUUCUGGUGGACCGUGGUUAAGCUUAGACUAAUGUCUACUAGUGGUGAUGCAAACCUGGAUCCACAAAGAGCUGUCAUGGUGGCAAGCUUACUAGAGAGGCUGAAUAUUAAUUUUGACCAGGUGAUUGCUGAUGAGUUUUUUGUUAGAGCACAUAACAUGGCUAGUGUGUUUCCUUUUAUAUGUCUCAUUAUAGAAUUGAGCAAACUAGUGAAGGUUCCUAUUAUCAGUGGAGUGGACAAUAAAGUUAGAGUAGCAAAAGGCAAGAUAUUGAGAAUAUGUGAGACAAGAUAAAUUUUAAGUUGAGGGUCUACAAGGAACAAUCUUUUGGGCCCCAAUCUUACAGUACUCCAAAAGCAUCAGGUAUCUUCGUAGGUAUGCCUUUACCCCAUGUUACUCUCGAUCCAUAGGGUACUUCUGCAGCAUCUUGGAUUAUUCCUCCACCCCAACUGUUGAGACUGCUGAAACUAUAUCCAGCAGCCAGUUUACUCAGAGUAUAGAUUUAAACAAGAGAAUUUUGUAUAGGUGGUCAAAGCAAAAAAAAAUUGAAAGGUAGUUGAAAAUAUGGGGCAAGGAAUACAAACUGUCCGUGGAUAGAAUCAUGGCGGAAUCCUUUAAGGCAUAUGAGAAUUUGCAUGCCUAGAUGGAUAAUAUGGAAUAAAGAGUGAACAAUAGGUGUCGGGAAUUUUCAAUUCCAAAUUGAACUAAGUUCACGGCCAGAUUUAAUCAAGCUCAAGACGACAUAGCCAACUUGAAGGACAAUUCUAUUGUAGGCGUAUUUGAUCCCAAAUAAUAGAGUUGGAGGAUGACGAUGACAUUGUUGGUUUGAUAGGGUCGAUAUUGAAAGAUAAAGGCAAGGCGGUAAGUGAGAGUGGAGAGAAGAAAAAAUCAAGAAAGAAGAAGCACAUAAAUGAAGCUGAUGAAGAAAGAGCCAUGAGGAAGGCAUUGAAGUAAUCAUGAAAUGAUGGAGAUUCUAGGAUAAAGAGAGUGAUGGAUGCGGCGGUGGGGGUGUCUAGCAGCUCAGAACAUGCAGGUGGGUCCAUACUCAAAGUGUUACCAACGCCUUUUCCAGUUAAUAAUAAAGUCACUGAUUUGAGCACCCCGGUCACCAUUAGGGCACUAUUGCUGAGAUCGAGUCCAGUCAAGCCUCUAAAGAUUUGCCGAACUCCCAAGCCUCUAAGGGCUUUACAAUUAUUCUAUCCCCUGUACUUUCUAAUAAUUAAUACAUUAAGGACAAAGCAUUUUUUUUUGCUAGGGUGGGAUACUUGUGAGUCUGUUUCCAUGAGGAUUUUUGUUAUCUAUGUUCUUUUCCCUCAUGUCCUAACUAGUAGAAGCGGCAUUUUUAGGAUAUGUGUUUCUAUUUUUGUGUUACAGUUUUAUUAUUGUGGUGUUUGAUGUACAUAUUGUUCCUGCAAAAAGAGAAGAAUGAAUAAUUAGUCGUUGUUGUUGAAAUAUAAAUAUUGAGGAGCCUCCAAAAAUUAUGAUUAUGUAUUUAGUUUUGUUCUGAUAAUUGACUGUUUGUGGAUCUACACUUGGCAUUAGUACUCUCUAUGUAAAGUGAAGCAUGCUUAAGUUUGAGUAUAAAUCUUAUAAUAGAUAGCAUGGAUGUCAUUUAAUGUGAUGUGUGUGCUAGGAUUUCAUUUUAAUUCUUACUUUGUGUAUGUAUCUAGAACUUGCGUAGCCCAUUUUGUCAGGUGUUAAGUUGGAUGUAUAGGAUAGGAUCACAAGCCUUGUUUGCACUUAGUCCACUUAACCUAAAAGAUUUAUCUAAAUGUGUAUGAAUUUCCUAGAUUCCUAUUUUGAGCUACUAACUUCUUUAUUCAAGAAUUGUUAAGAUUCUCUUUUCUAUUGUUAAAACCAUUAUUUUGGCCAUGGUUCCUCAUUGGAAAUUAUGCACCUCAACUCCGAAAAAUUGCCUAAGUUAAGGGUGGCUACUAUAGAACAGUUUGAUGAGUGAAGAAGCAUAUAAAGAGAGUGGAGUAAAUCAAUGAAAUACCUAGAAGUGUGUACAACUAAGGAAGAAUCUGAAAAAAGAAAAGAUAAAAGUAAACGAGUUUCAUAGGUUUGAACACGAUAUUCUUGGAUUGGAUCAUAGAUUUGAAUUUUGAAUUUUUACUUUGAAAGUUCUAGUUCUUACAUUAUGAAAUUUAGUUGUUUCAUCUCUUUUCUUGUCAUGAAUGUCUUAAAACCCCAUAAUUAGGGUUGUGGAAUAAUCAGUGGAAAAUUACUUCUAGGAUUCAUGUGUCAUUGAAUUUGUACUGUACUAAUGAUUAUAUUGCUAUUUCCUUAGGUUUUAAUGAAUUUGUAAUGGUUGCAAAUAUUAGAACAAGGCCUAGAGUUUAACUUGCUUGAGUAAAGAAGUUAAUAUCGAAAUAAGGCAGUAACAACAAGAAUUCAGAGUUUCUAACUCUUGAAUAAAGAUUAUUUCUUUAACCAGAUUAGUCUCUUGGGGAUUAAAUCAAAUUAGUAACUCGUCACUUUAAGGCCAAGAGAAUUGGAGUGAAAAUCAUCUACGUAGGUUGGGAAAUACUUAGAUGGAGAAUUGACAUUGAUUCCCUUAUAAUUGCUUGUAUUAGUACAAAUUCAUAUAUCACAUGACCCAGAAGUGAUAGAACACCAAGGAGACAUAAUUCUAGUUUUGUCUUUCUCAUUGAUUGAUACAUUACAAAAUUUACAUCUACAGUUCGGCGCAAACAUAAUUAUUUAUUCAUUUCACUAUACAUUCCCCUUUAUUUCAUGAAAAUUGAUGACUAAUUUUCUUUUAAACUAUAUACAACUUAAUUAACACCUUAUUCCCUCUAGGAUUUGACCCCAAUCUUUGUUGGGUUAUAUAUUUGACAAUGGAUGCUUACACCUCUUUAAAAAGGUGUUGUAGUUUGGACAUAUCACCGUGAGAAGUUUUUUUAUGGAAAUCCAAAAGCGUUAUUUCAAAAUGGUUAGCCAAAGACAUUUGGUUGAUUUGUAAAAAAUUACUAUUUCUUGAAACGUGACUAACUUUACAAAAUCUUAGAUUCAUUUGCAAAUGUGGCAUAUAUUCUAUUUUAGUGAAAAUUAGCCUAUUAAAAUCAAGAAAAAAAUCUUUGUAAAGAAAAACUAAACUAGAUUAAAAACAAUCUUUGUAAAGGAAAACUAAACUAGAUUUUUCAAAUUUUUAAAAUCAAUUAUUUUAUGAAAAGGGAAGGUGACAUCAAUCUUGAACAAAAUUUUAUAGUGGUAUCAAUUUUGACAAAUAGGAUGCUUUAAAAAAAAAUACCAAGUUAAGAUAAAUAAGUUAAUCAUGGAAAGUUUAAAUUUUCAAAAAAAUUUCUUUUUAGUCAAAAUAAAAGUACUUAAUGCAUAGGGGUAUUAAGCUAUUGAGUCACACUAUGAAGAUUUUGGAGAGGGUGGUUGAGUGGAGAUUGAGGAGGGUGGUGUCCAUUUUGGAGAAUCAGUUUGGAUUUAUUCUUGGUCGCUCUACGGCAGAGGUAAUCCACCUGGUGAAGAGAUUGGUGGAGCAGUAUAAGGAAAUGAAGAGGGAUUUACACAUGGUGUUCAUUGACCUGGAGAAGGCGUAUGAAAAAGUCUCUAGGGAGGUUCUUUCGAAAUGCUUGGAAGUGAGAUGGGUCCCGGUGACGUAUAUCAGAGCUAUUAAGGACAUGUAAGAUGGAGGAAGACUCAGGUGAGGACGGCGGGAGGAGACUCUGAGCAUUUUUUGGUUAAGACAAAGUUGCAUUAGGGAUCGACUUGUAGUCCAUUCCUUUUUACGUUGGUGAUAGACUGUUGAUGCGGAGUAUUCAAGGUGAUGUGCCUUGGUGUAUGUUAUUUGCGGAUGAUGUAGUGCUAAUUAAUGAGAUGCGAGAGGGGAGGGGGGGUUGUGAAUGAGAAAUUGGAGGUUUGGAGGCAAACCCUUGAAUCUAAGGGGUUCAGGUUGAGUAGGUCCAAGAUGGAGAGUACGGAAUGCAAGUUUAGUGACUUGAGGUAGAAGGACGAAUUGGUGGUAAGUUUGGAUUCCUAGGAUGUUUUUAAGAGGGAUAGUUUUAAGUAUCUUGGGUCUAUGAUCCAGGGAAAUAACGAGAUUGAUAAGGAUAUCUCUAAACGUAUUGGAGCGGGUUGGAUGAAGUGUAGGCUCUUCUCGGAGUGUUGUGUGAUAAGAAGGUGCCCCUUAAGCUUAAAGGCAAAUUCUACAAAGUGGCAUUUCAUCCGACCAUGCUAUAUGGAGCGGAGUGUUGACCCAUCAAGAACUCCAACAUUCAAAAAUUAAAGGUAACAAAAAUGAGAAUAUUGUGUUGGAUGUGUGGGCUUACUAGAGAGAAUAGAGUUAGAAAUGAGAUUAUUCGAAAGAAGGUGAGAAUGGCUUCGGUGGAGAAAAAAAUGUGAGAAAGAAGGCUGAGAUAGUUUGGGCAUAUGAUGAGGAGGAGCACUGAUGCCCCAGUUCAUAGGUGUGAGAGGCUAGCUUUGGAUGGCGUCAGGAGGAGUAGAGGUAGGCCGAAGAAAUACUGGAGGGAGGUGAUUAGACAUAACAUAGAGCAGUUAUAGCUUAAUAAGGACAUGACCCUAGAUAGGAAGGAGUGAAGGUCGUGGAUAAUGGUAGAAGGCUAGUGUGAGUGUGUGGAUUAUAGCUAGUAGUUAAGAGAGCUCUUGUGUAGCCGGGUUAGUAAUUCUAGGACUAUGUCCAUAGGUAGGAUCAUCUAACAAGGUGAGUUUGGGUGGGGUGGUGGUGGUGUCUUUGGGCUUGUGAGUGUAUUACUACUAGGUGGGUGUCCUAGUUCUUAAUUCUUAUUUCCUAUUUUGUAGUUUGUAUUGCUCGUAUUUCUCUUAUUUCGUAUUUCUCUGAUUUCUAUUUAUAUUAUAUCUUGUUCAUUAUUUAUGUUAUGUCAUCCAUAGUGCUUCGUGUUUUAUUACGACCUUAUUUACUAUUCUUUAUCUUGAGUUGGGGGUCUAUCAGAAAAAGCAUCUCUACUUCUUCAGAGGUAGCAGUAUGAACUGUGUACAUUUUAUCCUCCCCUGACCCCACUUUGUAGAAAUACAUCGGGUUUGUUGUUGUUGUUGGUGUUUCUGUAUUAUCUUGUCAUAACAAGAUUCGUUUUUAGAAAGAUUUAUUCUUAAGAGGAAUAAAGAGUCUAUUUUUUAUUUAAGGUCUGAAGACAAACUAAAAAUGAUUAAUAUUGAAUAAAAAAAUAAAGAUAAAUUCAAAAAGAUAAUACUUGGAGAAUUUAUCUAGACUAAUUAAAUAAAGGAAAAAUUUCACAAAACCACAACUUAAGAUAUCUAAAUAACUAAAAAUUUUUCCACUUAAUAAAAAUUAUAAAUAUACCUUAUUUAUAUAUGGAAAGGACAUGGGUUGGCCAUUUUGAAAAGAAAUGGCCAACCCUUUUAAAAGUUGGACAUGGGUAGCCCGUCGGCCCAAUUUAAUUCCCCUAAAUAGACUUUUAGCCCAAAACUGAUCCUCUUACACAUUAAAGAGUAAUAAAUACUCUUUUAACGGCUAUUUAUUGAACUUUCCCAAAUUUUAUUCUCUUUCUUUCUAAUAUGGUUCAUAAAUUUGUUCUUUUCAUCAAAAUUAGAAAUUGAGUUGGUGAUUUUUGCAUUGUAUGGACAUGAAACAAAUAAUGGGUAGUAAGGGAAAGCUAAAAUUAGCUAGUAAAGGGGUCAAUUUUGACCCCAAAUUUAUUGUGAAAUAUGAUGACUUCAUAGAAUUUUCAUCUAUGUUGUUGCAGUUGAAGGACUGUCCUAGUCCUUCAACCUUGAAGAAGAAGAAAAUUGAUAGAAUAGAGUCUCAAAGUAAGAGAAAUCUAUGUCGGAAAGUCCAUAUUCUUCUCAUAGGAUGACUCGAUCACGGAGUCAGAGGCUUUUAGGUGCAUGUAAAUAUGAAGAGAAGGAUCUUUCAAAAGGAAAGGAGAAGGUCGAUGAACAUGUAUUUGUUAGUGCGAAGAAAAAAAGAAACGAAAUCGGGAAAAAUGGUGAAGACACUGAUGUAUUGUCAAACAAAAAAUGAAAAGUUCAGAUCAUCUUGGAAAACCAAGUUAUAGUUUAUCAGAUGUUGAGGUAUUCUGUAUUUUUUGACAACUAUAGCGUAUUUUUUGUAUAUGUAUGCAAUGUGCGGCCUUACUUUGUAUGUUGUUGUUAUUGUAGUUGCUUUGUGCAAUGUAAUGCAUAGUGUUAAUGUAUUUAGAAAUAUAUAUUUCUUUCAGGUUUGAGAUUUUGUUGUUCGACCAAGUGAUUACAUGACUCAUAUUAGUGUGCAUACACAUUGCUCGAUUGUGAAUGAGCUGAAAGAUAAGUUAACUAAGGUGCAACUCAAUAUGUUCAGAAACACCUGUUUUGGAUAUUUUUUAGAUUUGCCAUCUGUUUCCAUUCAAAAUCAGUUGAUACAUGACAUGUUUCUUAAGGAAUUUUUUUCUAGUUGAAAUGAUGAGAUAUGGAUUAAAGUGAAUGAGACAAAGUUGUGAUUUGGUCUAUCAGAUUUUGCUGUUAUAAGUGGAUUAAAGUGUACAGGUGAUGUUACACUGGCAUAUAAUUUGAGCCAGUCUAGUCGCCUUAUUGAAUUGUAUUUUCCAAAUCAAUCCAAAGUUACAAAGCUUGAGCUAAAAACUUUUUUAUUGGGAAAAAAUGGCAAUUUGGUGGAGACGCGUUGCAUAUUGCCAUUCUUUCCUUCAUUCAUAGUUUUUUGUUUUCAAUUACGUAUGGUGACUUCAUAAAUAAGGAUGAGUUUUUGUUGGUUGAGUCUGGUCAGUUUGAGACAUAUCCCUGGGGAAAGUUGUGUUUACAUGAUAUGUUGGAUUCAAUGAAGUACCAGGUUUAUAAGCAAAAGUAUAUGUAUUGGUGUGGUGGUUUCCCUUUGUCAUUCCAAUGUUGGUUUUGUGAAUGUUGUCCAUAUGGUGGUUUCCCUUUGGCAUUCCAAUGUUGGUUUUGUCACAAUUCACAAUGCCAUAAAUAGGGGAUUUCAUACUACACAUGGUUUCCAACAUCUUAUACAUGGAAGGGAAUGCAUAUAACAUGUAAACACUUGCAUAACUUGAAUUUCAUGAGGAUUCUAGAUCACCCCAAUCAACGCACAACAAUAGCAUGUAAUUAACGUUGAAUUAAAAGUGAUAUAAUGGACUUGUCAUUUAGGUACUAUUGAGUCUUGAGAAACAUGAUUUUCAUUAUCAUUCUAGGAAAUUCAUCAAACACCUUACAUGCACAUUUUAUGGCAUAGGUGAAAUUAUCAAUUUACUAUCUUAAACCAUCCCAAAACUCAUGGGUUUCAACCAACAUGCUCACAUGAUUCAUAGAAACACAUUGAGAUACCAUCUUGAAUCACCAAUAACAACUAUCAACAUAAACAUAAUCAUACAACACAAAGAAAUCAUAAUUUUUUAAUUUAAAACUUGGUUCUUGAGCUCUACGGUUGAAAGGGAUCCGUGGAUGAACACUACGCAUACCUUAAUGGGAAUAUCCGUGAAAGUUAAUGGUAAAGCUGUUAGGUUUGGGUCUUCAAAUUGAAACCCUUGUUCUUGAGAGAAACUGAUGAAAAGGAGUAUAUUUUGGCAUUUUUAAGCUUUAAUGCUGUGUUUGGGAGGUUAAAUAUAGGUGCAAAAGGACCAAAAUGCCCUCUAAACACGGAGGUAGAAUGCUGAAAAAUUGGACACCCACCAGAGUUGUAGGCUAGCGUCUAGCUAUGCCCCCGCUCUAGCUAGGGCAGCGCCUUGCUUAGAGCGGUGCCCUAGGCUGGGCGGCGCGGUCAGAUCUCCCUGAGCUACUAGUUUGUGUACCCAAACAUGCCCUUACGCUACUCCGAAAAUUCCGAAACUCACCCAAAAUAUAGUACGACCUUGCCCCAUCGCAACACAACUUGAAAAUUGGAAAAUAAAGGUUGGAAAGGUCGUCAAAUAAAUCCCCGAAGUUUGGAGGUCUAAAAUGAGACUAAGUGUUGACCACUUAGCUAAAAUUUUCUAAGUGUUAGACCUUAUAUUGAGCUUCAAGGAGCUAAACGAGCUAAAUUUGAACGCAAAGUUUUUGAGGGGUCUUACAAUAUCUCCCCCUCGGAUGAGAUUGACUGAGAGGGGAAACAAUAAGCUGAACAUAAAUUGGACAUAAAUGACUAAAACAUGAUCUCAUGACUGACAUGAAUGAUAAACUGAAUUAUCACACUGAACGUGCAUAUCUGAUGCAUGUGUACCUGAUUCAUGAAUGCAUGACUGAGGUUUCUGAUAACUGAAGUUCUCGCAAUGAGAAUGCAUAUCUGAUGCAUAAUUAUACAACUAAACUGACACAUGUAUGCAUGACUGAAUAUGCAAUGGUACUUGAUACCAAGCUUAUAAUGGUUACAUGAGCGUGAAACUGAAUACUAAAUUUACUAAAUACUGAACGUGAAGCUGAAUAAGAUUAAGGAUAAUUGUUACCUUGAGCUUGAUCUGGGUUGGCGGACAAGAGGUGAGGGUACUUGGUACGCAUGUCUUCUUCUUCUUCCCAUGUAGCUCCCUCAAUGGACUGAGUUCUCUAAAGAACCUUGACUAGAGGGACUUCUUUGUUCUUCAGUCUACGAGUCUGAUAGUCAAGAAUUUCGAUUGGAAUUUCCUCAUAGGAGAGACUAUUCUGAACAUCGAUGCUCUGAAUAGGGACUACAACUAAUGGUUUACCUAUGCACUUCUUGAGAAAAGAAACAUGGAAGACUGGAUGAACUAAGGCUAGAUCUGAAGGAAACUCGAGCUCAUAAGCUACUUUACCGAAAUAAUUGAGAAUCUUGAAGGGACCAACAUAUUGGGGACUGAGCUUUCCCUUCUUGCCAAAUCUAUUCACUACCUUCAUGGGAGAUAUCUUUAGAUAGACAAGGUCACCAAUCUCAAAUUCGAGAUCCUUUCUACGCAUAUCUGCAUAAGACUUUUAUCGUCUCUGAGCAGCCCGAGCCUUUAUCUGACCAAUUGAACUUCCUCUAAGGCAUCAAACACUAAGUCGGGCAAUAUGGUAGAUUCCUCACGAACUUUAAACCAACCGAUUAGAGAUCUACAUGUCCUACCAUAGAGAGCUUCGAAUGGAGGCAUCUGAAUACUGGAAUGAUAGCUAUUGUUGUAUGCAAAUUCAAUCAAAGGCAAGUGGUCAUCCCAACCACCCUUGAAAUCAAUUGAACACGCCCUUAGCAUAUCUUCUAAAGUCUGAAUGGUCCUUUCCGCUUGACCAUCUAUCUGAGGAUGAAAGGAUAUACGGAGAUGAACUUGGGUACCAAGACCGUUUUAGAAUGCUUUCUAGAAGUGAGAGAAUAAAUGGAUACCUCUGCCUGAGAUGAUAGAUAAUGAAACACUGUGUAAUCUGACCAACUUCCUGAUGUAGAGUUUGGCAUAAUCCUCGGCGGAAUAAGAGGUAUGAACUGGAAGAAAAUGAGUUGACUUGGUCAUUCGAUCUACAAUGACCCAAACUAAAUCAUGCUGAUGACGAGUUUGAGGCAAACCCAUCACGAAGUCCAUGUUCACUUCUUCUCACUUUCAAAUAGGAAUAGUGAACUCCUGCAUGGAACCACUAGGUUUAUGAUGCUCUAUCUUAACCUGUUGACAUAAAGAGCACUUAGCCACAAACUCUACAAUAUCUCUCUUCACCCCACUCCCCCAAUAGAUCUCCCACAAGUCAUGAAAUAUGUUAGUUGCUCCUGGAUGAAUAGAGUAUCACGCACCAUGCGCCCCUAUAAGAAUUCGCUGCCUCAAGUCAUCUACACCUGGAAGACACAAACGACCCUGACAACAAAGAACACCAUCUCCCCCUUGGGAUAAAACCUCUACUUUUUGAUCUUUUACUUACUUUUUUAGCUUAACAAGGCUAGGAUCCCUUUGUUUCUUUUCUUUCACCUCAAAAACUAGAGAUGAUUCUGAACUACUCUGAACACAUACGCCACCCUCAGAAGAAUCGACUAAGAAAAUGCCUAGUCUGGUAAGCUGAUGGAUUUCCUAAGCAAUCUUCUUCUUGUUAUCUUCAACAUGAGAAAUAUUACCCAUAAAGAGUCUAAUAAGAUCUUAGGCCAGAUCAUUGGCCUUGCCCGGAUGAUAAAGGACACUAUGUCAUAAUCCUUCAAGAGCUCUAACCACCUUUUCUGAAAAAGGUUGAGAUCAUUCUGGGAAAAGACAUACUGGAGACUCUUAUGAUUUGUGAAGACAUCUAUAUGAACUCCAUAGAGAUAAUGCCUCCAAAUCUUCAAGGCAAAUACUACGACUGCUAACUCAAGAUCAUGAGUACGAUAUUUAUUCUCAUGGGGCUUUAAAUGUCUAGAGGCGUAGGCUAUGACCUUACCAUGCUACAUGAGGAAAUAACCUAAACCCACUCUGUAUGCAUCACAAUACACUACGAAACUAUCUGGACCAUCUGGAAUAGCUAAGACUGGGGCUGAGGUGAGUCGAGUCUUCAACUCCUAAAAACUCUCCUCGCAAGGAUCUGAUCACUAAUACUUGACCUUCUUCUAAGUCAAUAUGGACAUAGGGGAUGCAAUAGAAGAAAAUCCCUCGACAAACCGUCUGUAAUAGACAGCCAAUUCGAAGAAACUCUUAAUAUCUAAUGGAGAGACAAGGCGUGUCCAGUUUCUUACCUCUUUGGUUAUCUAAGCAUCUACUCUAAUGCCAUCACCGAAAAUGAUAUGACCAAGGAAUGCUACUGACCUUAGCGAAAAUAUUCACUUACUAAAUUUGGAGAAUAGCUGAUGAUCUCAGAGAGUCUGGAGAACAAUUCUGAGAUGGUCUGAAUGGUCUUUCUCAUUGUGGGAGUACACAAGGAUGUCAUCUAUAAAAACUAUCAUGAACAUGUCCAAGUACUGCUUGAACACCCGGUUUAUUAAGUCCACGAAAGCUGUAGGGGCAUUGGUAAGACCAAAGGACAUAACUAAGAAUUUAAAGUGAAUAUACCGAGUACGGAAAGUUGUCUUCGGAAUGUCACAUUCUCCGACUCUAAGCUAAUAGUAGCCGGAUCUGAGGUCUAUCUUGGAGAAAUAAUUGGCACCCUGAAGUUGGUCAAAUAAGUCAUCGAUUCUGGGAAGAGGAUACUUGUUCUUGACCGUGACUUUAUUGAGUUGACGCUAAUCAAUGCAUAUCCUGAGAGAACCGUCUUUCUUGCACACGAAUAAGACUAGUGUGCCCCAUGGGGAAAUGCUAGGUCUGAUGAAUCCCUUAUCUAAGAGAUCCUUCAACUGAUCUUUCAAUUCUCUGAGUUCUACUGGUGCCAUUCUGUAUGGUGGAAUAGAGAUAGGCAGCAUGUCUGGAAGAAGAUCAAUGCCGAAGUCUAUUUCCCUUUCGGGAGAAAUGCUUGGAAGAUCUUUGGGAACGAUAUCUAAAUAUACAUUUACAACUAGAACUGAUUCAAGAUUGGGAAUUUCGGAACUGGAAUGUUUAACAUGAACAAGAUGAUAGACACAUCCCUUAGUUAUUAUUUUUCGUGCCUGAAGGUAGGAAACAAGCUGACUCCUGAAAGUGGAUACACUACCCUUCCACUCAAGGACGGGUUUAGUUGUAAAAUGAAACUGGACUAUUCUGUUUCUGUAGUCGACUAUGGCAUAGAGGAAUGAAGCCAAUCUAUGCCGAGAAUGACAUCAAAAUAAGUCAUCUCUAAUUUGACUAAGUUUGCUGAAGUGACCUUCUUAAAUAUCAUAACCGGUCAGUUCCAAUAUACCCACCGAGCUAUGAUGGUUUUACCCAUUGGGUAGAUACUGAAAAGGACUUAGCUAGAAUUUUGGGACUGAUUCCGAAAUCAAUUGUAUAUAAGGAGUGAUAAAAGACAAGGAUUCACCUGGAUCAAGCAAAGUGUAAACAUGCACAUAAAAGAUCUAUAACGUACCAGUAACGACAUCAGGAGAAUUUUCCUGAUCCUAUCGAGUUUGAAGAGCAUAAAGACAAUUCAGGCAUUGCCUACUAGUAGCACUAAAAGUGGCACCCUACUGAUUCGGGUGACCGGACCGAGCUGCGGAACAGUUUUGCUGACCCUGAUAACCUGACUGGGGAUAAUCUUUGACUCUGUGCCCUGUCUUGACACAACCAAAAUAGACAUCGCUACCAGCUCUACAAGAACCCUUGUGGUUCUUUCCACAAGUCUGACAUAAGGGAUUAGUUCAAGCAUUACUGACACUGCCCUAAGACUUAAAGCCUGGCGCUCUAUCUCUAAACUUAGGAGAUGGAGCACCGGCUGAAGAAGGAGCUAGAACCGAUGACUUGGGAUGAAAUUGAGAACGAUUUCCUUCUUCCGACUUGGGUUGAGCAAAGUUGAGAUUUCCUAACCUUGCUCUCUUCUUCUACCUCUCCAUUAUCCUAACCUUCUGUUCCUCUAUCUGAUGAGAAUAAUUCAUAAGUUUGGAUAAAGUCAUGUCAUUGUUCAGCAUCGCAUACCUACACUUAUUUACCAUGCUUUCAUUCACCCCUGAAACGAACUUACUUAUAUUAGUUCUAUUGUCUGUAACCACAUGAGGGGCAUAUCUAGCUUAUUGAGUAAAACUGAGAGAAUACUCUUUCACCAUCAUAUUGCCCUCCUGAGUUUGAUGAACUCUAGCACCUUAGCCUUCCUCAGCUCUUGGGGAAAGAAUAUGUCUAAGAAUGUCGUGACAAACUCCUCCCACUCUGUAGGACCUCCAUCGUCUAAACUUUCAGACUUCCACUGCUUGUACCAAGUAUGAGUCACAUCCUGCAACUGAUAUGCAGCUAACUCAACACUCUCAGAAGUAUUCACCCCAUGAUAUCUAUCACCUUCAAAAUUUGAUCAAUGAAUUCAUGAGGGUCUUCAUCAACCGUAUACCUAAGGAAGGUUAAAGGAUUCAUUCAGGUGAAGUCCCGAAUCCUAGCUGCGGCUGACUUGGCCACUAGGUUGGCUGGAAUAAUCGUUGGCCAUUCAUUCUGAGCAGCUACUGAUUGAGUAAGAGUGGUGAAUGCAGUCCUUAACUCCGCAUGAGAAACAUGAUCGCCCAAAGGUUUUUCGGGCUGAAGAGUUAGCUGAUUUCUUCUUUUCGGAGGCAUGUUUUAUAGAAGAAAGAGAGAAAUGGAUUAGGCUGAGAAAUUAACUUAUGAUUAUGCUCACUGGCAAGACAUGAAUACUGAAAGAGGGGAAACUGUUCCUAAAAUAUCUCAUAGACUCCUGCACAUAAAUGUGGCGCGCAACACACCCAUAUACAAGACUCUACUAGAUGCGGCUUUCAGACUUCCUAGGACUCCGUUAAACCUUUGACUCUUAUACCAAGUUUGUAACGCCUGAGCCUGGUGCCCAAAAUGCUACACGGUGCUCAUGACCACGUAGUACCACAAGAUAACCCAUGACUAAUAUUUGUACCUGUACAUAAGAUAAUAAGACAUAAAAAUGUAGAAACAUGCACUGAAAGGCCAUAAGGCUCAAUACUGAACAUAAUCGAAUAAUAACAAUGUCUGAAUAAAGUGGUAUCAGAAUACCAAAAUAAAACUAAAAUACUGAAGUUUGAAACAUGAUAGUCUGGAAAGCCUUUACUGUCUGAAUAAAGAGUUGAUGGGAUAUGUCCCCAACUAACUCUACUACUGAAAGAAACUAAAUACUAAAAUAAUGAAAUACGAUCACGUCCUCUGAGAAUGAGGGCUCACUGCUAAAACUCUGAGUAUUGAAAUGCUACAACUACUGCUGAUCUAGAAGUCGUGUCUUUGAACCUACGGUGUAAUAUAAAAAGAAAACACCAUAACGCAAAUACGUCAGUAUGUUGGAACAUACUGAGUAUGCAAGUGAGGUAGGCUGAAUGCAUGGGGUUCAUAUGCAUGAGCAAUACUAACUGACUGACUAAUAUGAACAUGAGAGUGCAUAUGUGAACACAUAGUAAUUGAGAUCGUGAAAACAUGAUAGCUAAAUCUAUACUGAUGACAUGAGUCUACUGAUAUCUACCAUGACUAAUAAUGAGUUCUGAUAAUUGAUAACAUGAAUGAUUGUAUGUGGCAGUCCUAAAUCUGAUAAAACUAUCUGAGUUUCGUACUGUAACUAAGUUGACUGUAUCUAAAAGUCCUGGUAUUCUGAUGAACUAUCUGAGUUCAUUUACUGAGAGUAAUACUGAAACUGUGGGAAGUAGUUACUUAACCGACAUGCCCCAAAUGCGCUAUAAUAGCUGAGCUGGGAUCCAAUGUAUGCCCUGAUUGGAAGGGUGUCGAUACUGCGCCACUGCUAAGGACAAACUAUGGGUAACCCUCAUCUGGCAGUGUCCAUAAAAGAGAAUAGUGGGCCCUUAUCUGACAGUUCUUAUCCACCUCAUUGACCCUCAUCUGACAGUGUCAAUGUCUCAAGCUAUGCUGGCUACAUAGUUCUGAAAUGCAAGGAUGAUUGCUAAGAAUCACACCCUCAUCUGACAGUGUAUGUUCCCAUCCUUGGGUUCACUCGGUUCUAAUUACUACUCCCAUAUGAAGAGACUGAACAUGAUUAACUGACUGUACAUGAACUGAGUUUACUGAAUUUCAUCGACUGACAGAAUGCUACUGCUAUCUGAUAACUGACUGAGAUCAUGAGAUUUCUGAGAUUUCCUGAGUCAUAUUACUGACUGAAUUCUAUGGAACAUGGUUUGACGGAGGAUAUCAUGAAAACAUGACAUUUGCUCUUGGCAUACAACUAUAUUUUUCAGGUACAAGUUCCCCCAAAACUUGAUGGAAGGAAACUGAUACCACAUGACACUUCUUGAUUUUUGGAAAUGAAGUUCACAAUUCACAAUAUCACAAUUCACAAUGGGGAAGAGAGGUGCCUAGCUAUGCCCCCGCUCUAUCCAGGGCAGAACCUUGCUUAGUGUGGUACUCUAGGCUGGGCGGCGCAGGUAGAUCACCCUGAGCUAUUGGUUUGGGCACCCAAAUGUGCCCUUACGCUACUUCAAAAAUUCUGAAACUCACCCGAGAUGUACUACGAACUUGCCCCAUCACAACGCAACUUGAAAAUUAGAAAAUAGAGGUCACGAAGAUUAUCAAAUAAAUUCCCGAAGUUCGAAGGUCUAAAAUGAGACUAAGUGUUGAACACUUCGCUAAAAUUGUCUAAGUGUUGGACCUUAUAUUCAGCUUCAAGGAGCUAAACGAGCUGAAUUUGAACGCAAAGUUUUUAUGGGGUCUUACAAUACAUGUGAGGUAUGCUAUCUACAAGGGUUCACAUGUAUGAAUAAUGCUAACUGACUGUUUAACAUGAACGUGAGAGUACAUGCAUAAAUACGUUACUAUAACUAACACCAUGAUAACAUGAUUACUGAAUCUGAAUACUAAUAACAUGACAUGUUAAUAACUAUUAUGACUAAUAACAUGAAAGACGGUAUUUGAAUAAAACUGAUAACAUGGGUGACUGUAUCUGAUAGUCCUAAAUCCAAUGAAACUAUCUGAGUUCCAUGCUUUAUCUGAGUUGACUGUAUCUGACGAUCCUUAUAUCUGAUGAACUAUCUGAGUUCUAUUACUAAGACUGAUUGACUAUAUCUGACCGUGCUGAUUCUAUAACAUGAAACUAUGGGAAGUAGUUAUUUAACUGACAUGCCCUUGAUACGCCAUUAUGGUUGAGUUGGGAUAUAAUCUGUAACCCUAAUUGGAAGGAUAUCAAUACCAUUCCACUGGUAAGGAAAAGCUAUGGGUGACCCUUAUCUGAUAGUAUCCCCUGUACGAGAACAGUUGGGCCCUUAUCUGAUAGUAUUUAUCCAUCUCAUCAACCCUCAUCGACAGUGUUGAUAUCUUAACCUAUGCUAGCUACAUAUUUCUAGAAUGUAAGGAUGACUGUUAAGGAUCACACCCUCAUCUGAUAGUGUGUGUCCCCAUCCUUGGGUUCACUCGGUGCUAAUUUUUACUCCCAUCAUAAUAGACACUAAACAUGAUUAACUGACCUGAAUUGAAUAUGGACUAAGUUACUAAAUUUCGUUGACUGACGGAAUACUACUGAUAUCUGAUAACUGACUAAGUUUAUGAGAUUAUUGAGGUUUCUUGAGUCAUAAGACCGUCUAAAGUCUAAGAAUUCAUAGGUUGACUAAGAGUAUCGUGAAAACAUGACAUGACUCUAGGCACACAGCUAACGUUUCGGGUACAAGUACCCCCAGGACUCGAUAGAAGAAAACUGACAACGCAUGGCAUUACUUGAGUACAUAAUAAGAACCAUAAUAUGUUUAUUGAAGCAUUUCAUCAAACAUAUGAUAGGCAUAAGCUUGUACAUACAUGGGGAUUUCAUGACUUCAUGCUAGUUAAACAUUUUUCCUUCAUUUAGGCAUUAAAUCAAACAUAUUGCAGGCAUAAUACAUGCAGACAUUAUUGUACAACAAUUAUACAUCAUGGUUCACUCCUAAUUUCAUCAUUAAAAGGUUAAAUCAUUGGUUUGCAUGAAUCCAUGUCUAUAAUAAUUAAACCCACAUAGAAAUUAUCAACCAACAUGGAGUAAAAUUCAAUUUCUCAUUUGUUAUCAUGAACAAGAACUUCCCAAUCAUGAAAUUCAUAGAGAAGAUUCAUAAAAUUGAUUUUAGAAUAGGAUUCUUGGGCUUCACGGACAAAAAGAGUCCAUGAAUGAACACUAUUCAUACCUGAGUUAAGGCUCUUGAUGUUCUUGAACUUGAAGAAUUGGAAAUCCCUUAGAUUCUUGAAGAAGAUUGGGUUUUGUUCUUGGAGAUUAAUAUUAGAGAGAAAGCCUAAUCUUGUGUGUGAAAUAAUAAUAAAUCAAAUGGCUAAAAUCAGAUAUAAUUGGAUAUAUAUAGACGGGUGACAAAUGACCAAAAUACUCCUAUUAAAACAUCAUCAAAUAACUGAGCGGGACGUCCGACGGUGGGGUGCAAUGGUACGUCGCAUGUUCGAUGGUCCGUCGCAUGUUCGACCGUCCAUCGGACCUCUUUGUCGAAGUGAGAUAGAAUUGGGACUUGCUGCCAAUAAGUAAUGGUGGGGUGCAACGGUCCAUCACUGGGUCGACGGUCUAUCGGACCUCGCCAUCGUACAUUUCCAGAGAGAUGAUUCACUACUUUGAUGCGACGAUCAUGCUCGAUUGUUGGUCGCUUGUCCAAUGGUCUGUCGCCUGCACCAUCGCACUGGGCUAUUUUUCUGCCUUUUAUAUUUUGGCAUAACUUCCUUAUGUGACACCAAAUUUUGAUGAAAUUGGUAUCGAUGGGAAGUUUAUUCAAUUUUCCACGUGAUGGAAAGUGAAAAUCAUAAAAAAAUACCACGUGUACAAGAAUGUUUUCAUAUUUCAAAGCAAGUUCUAACAUCUUUGAGAUGAUUCCAAGCUAAGAAAAUUCAUGGGUAUUACAAAGACAGUCCUAUGAAUUCUCAAAAUGAGUUGAAACUUCUGUGAAUUGAUUUGAAUUUGGUAUGUUUAAGUGUUUUAAAAGUUGGUGUAGCUGAGUAUUAUGAAAAAUUGAUGUUUUUUGUUUGCCAUUUUGAAAAUGUUCAGCUAAAGGAUGAGGUUUUGUCGAUGAAACAGUUGAUGACAUCGUCAUUUGACCUAAUUUUUAAAAGCACUACAUAUAAAUGAGUGUUCUAAGGUAUUUGGCUUGUUGUAUUGUAUGAUUUAUAUAACUUAUACAGAGUUUUAUACUAGUAUUUAUUUGUUGAACUUUUUAAAAUAGUCUGCCGAGUAUCAUAGUGGUCAUAAGUGGGGCUUAAAAAUGAUAUACACAUACAGGGAAUUCCAUAGGGGUUAAUUUGUCUGGCAAUGUGGGACGGAAAAUUGAUGGUACACCUAAGGUUGAUCACAUAAGUAAUAAUUUAGUUGAUGGUGUUGGAGAAAAAAUGCUGGUGUUGGGGAUUGUAUUGAUGUAGAAGCUGAGAAUAAACUAAGUGCUAAUCUGGUUGAUGAUAUUGAAAAACAAAAUGUUGAUGUAGGUGAUCAUAUUGAUGUAGCAGCUAGAGAUCACCUAAGUAAUAACGUCAUUGAUGAUAUUGGAAAAAAAACUGUUGGUGUAGGUGAUCAUAUCGAUACAAAUGCAGGUGAUAGACCUAUUACAGGUAAUGAAUGGAGUGCAUUUCCAAAUUUUAAAUUUUUAAAAUUUACACCAAGUGGUAAUAAGAUUGGAGAGGAGGUUAAAAAUAGUUUUGAGGAUAGUUGGUCUGAUUUUCCUGAUUAUGAAGUAUCAAAGUUUACCCAACCAAUUUCUCAUGAGAAUGCACAGUGUAUGAAAGAUUUGGUUGAGAAUAGUCAGGAAAUCGAUUGGUCAGGUGUUUCGGACAGUGAAAUCUCAAAGUAUACUCAACCUGAUAAAAUAGGUGAACAUUCUGUGAUUGAGAAAGUUAUUGGGAAGAUUGAUACAGAUUUAGGCUGUAGAAGUGUUGCAUUAGAGGCUACAAAAGUUCUUGUUGAUGUUGGAAGCAUAAGAAAAAAUUUUGAUGAUACUUCUGUAGGUGAUAAAUCAACUGUCAUCUUGGAUGAAACACCGGUUUUCCCUCGUAGAAUAAGAAAACUAGCUGCAAUAUAUGAAUCACCAUACGUGUCCAAGUUUGAUUCUGGUUGUAGCAACGUUCAAGGUCAACCAACUAAGUGAAUAGAUAAAGGACAUUCAAGAAAACACAUAUUCAGUAUGACACAUCCAUUUACCAUAGGUAUUACUGAGCCAAUUCUUGGUAUGAAGUUAUUGUCUUUAUUCAACAAGUUUGUUGAUAAGUCAUUAAGACUUAAUUCAAAGUAAGUGUUUUCUUUAUAAAAUUUUUUAUCUUAAAUUUUUAUCAUUUUUGUGUUAAAACUAAUACGUUGUGUCAUGCUUUUUUUUAUAGUCCUGUUUAUUCAAAAUCUGUUAAUAAUUUGGCAAAUGAUUUUGACUUUGGUGUUGUCACGAUUAAAAUAAGAGAAUGGUUCUACACGUUUGGAUAUGUAGGAGUACCUUUAACUGAUUCAGUAUGUCUAUUAUCCAUCAUGGUUUGCUGGUAUAGAAGUACUGAAAUAUUCUUUAGUGAUUUUGACAAUGUAAUGUAGUUUAUUAAAAUGAUCUUUUAUCUUUACUUUUCAGCAUAUUGAUGUGCUUUUUUACUACUUACGGAAGAAGUCAAAGUACACUCUUUUGGAUGGUAGAAGUUCAUUCAAAACAACUAAUUGUUGGUUUAAUUGCUUGAUACAAAGUUUGUACUCAAAGUUUUG
rnacentral:lncRNA from 1 species